rnacentral:rRNA from 1 species
ACACGCAUGACACACUGCAUAUCAAUAAGCGGAGGAAAAGAAACUAACAAGGAUUCCCUUAGUAACGGCGAGUGAAGCGGGAAGAGCUCAAAUUUGAAAUCUUCAAGGUUCUACCUUGACGAAUUGUAGUUUAUAGAAGUGUUUUCUGUUAGUAGAGUGGCAAAAGUUCUUUGGAAUAGGACAUCAUAGAGGGUGAGAAUCCCGUAUUUGGUCAUUCUUUCUAGCUUUGUGAUACACUUUCAACGAGUCGGAUUGUUUGGGAAUGCAGUCCAAAAUGGGUGGUAAAUUUCAUCUAAAGCUAAAUACUGGCGAGAGACCGAUAGCGAACAAGUACCGUGAGGGAAAGAUGAAAAGAACUUUGAAAAGAGAGUUAAACAGUACGUGAAAUUGUCAAAAGGGAAGCGUUUGACACCAGUGUUGUUUUUCCGAAAAUCAAUUACGAAUGUUUUAUUUUUGAGGAGUUAUGACUUCAUCGGCUUGCUCCUUUCUUUACUGAAACUUUCUUAAUGCACUUUUCGGUUAACAAGUCAACAUCAAUUUCUUUUGUUGUAAAAGGGUAUGAGGAAGGUGGCUUUCUUUUCGGAGAAAGUGUUUAUAGCCUUGUGCCUCUGCAAUCGGAGAGAUUGAGGUCUGCAGCGUAGAUCCUUCGGGGUUAGAUAGCAUUUGUGCUAAGCUAUAGCUUUUCAUAGACAACUUGUUGACUAUGAUUUAGUCAUUGUAGCUUACUCGCUUAUGCUAUUUUACCUACGCUUAGGAUGUUGAUAGUCACAGCGUGUAC